rnacentral:tRNA from 1 species
GAGGGUACAGCUCAAGUGGUAGAGCACAUGCUUAACAUGCAUGAGGCCUUGGGUUCAAUGCCCAGCCCCCCCU